UACGAAGGGGGCUAGCGUUGCUCGGAAUCACUGGGCGUAAAGGGUGCGUAGGCGGGUUUUAAGUCAGGGGUGAAAUCCUGGAGCUCAACUCCAGAACUGCCUUUGAUACUGAAGAUCUUGAGUCCGGGAGAGGUGAGUGGAACUGCGAGUGUAGAGGUGAAAUUCGUAGAUAUUCGCAAGAACACCAAUGGCGAAAGCAGCUCUCUGGGACGGUACUGACGCUGAGACGCGAAAGCGUGGGGAGCGAACAGG
rnacentral:rRNA from 1 species